rnacentral:rRNA from 1 species
UACGAAGGGGGCUAGCGUUGCUCGGAAUCACUGGGCGUAAAGCGCACGUAGGCGACUUUCUAAGUCAGGGGUGAAAUCCUGGAGCUCAACUCCAGAACUGCCCUUGAUACUGGAAAGCUUGAGUUCGGGAGAGGUGAGUGGAACUGCGAGUGUAGAGGUGAAAUUCGUAGAUAUUCGCAAGAACACCAGUGGCGAAGGCGGCUCACUGGCCCGAUACUGACGCUGAGGUGCGAAAGCGUGGGGAGCAAACAGG